AUGCAGUGUACCCGCGGCAAGACGGAAAGACCCCGUGAACCUUUACUAUAGCUUGACACUGAACAUUGAGCCUUGAUGUGUAGGAUAGGUGGGAGGCUUUGAAGCGUGGACGCCAGUCUGCGUGGAGCCGACCUUGAAAUACCACCCUUUAAUGUUUGAUGUUCUAACGUGGACCCGUGAUCCGGGUUGCGGACAGUGUCUGGUGGGUAGUUUGACUGGGGCGGUCUCCUCCUAAAGAGUAACGGAGGAGCACGAAGGUUGGCUAAUCCUGGUCGGACAUCAGGAGGUUAGUGCAAUGGCAUAAGCCAGCUUGACUGCGAGCGUGACGGCGCGAGCAGGUGCGAAAGCAGGUCAUAGUGAUCCGGUGGUUCUGAAUGGAAGGGCCAUCGCUCAACGGAUAAAAGGUACUCCGGGGAUAACAGGCUGAUACCGCCCAAGAGUUCAUAUCGACGGCGGUGUUUGGCACCUCGAUGUCGGCUCAUCACAUCCUGGGGCUGAAGUAGGUCCCAAGGGUAUGGCUGUUCGCCAUUUAAAGUGGUACGCGAGCUGGGUUUAGAACGUCGUGAGACAGUUCGGUCCCUAUCUGCCGUGGGCGCUGGAGAACUGAGGGGGGCUGCUCCUAGUACGAGAGGACCGGAGUGGACGCAUCACUGGUGUUCGGGUUGUCAUGCCAAUGGCACUGCCCGGUAGCUAAAUGCGGAAGAGAUAAGUGCUGAAAGCAUCUAAGCACGAAACUUGCCCCGA
rnacentral:rRNA from 2 species